rnacentral:lncRNA from 1 species
CUGCAUUGCUUUCAAAGGGCUACUCAUAAACAUCUGGUUCCACAUCAUGAAAUAUUCUCUUGACACGGCUAUCUUCUAACUGGAGAAUUGCAACCUUCACUUCGUAUCCGGAUCCGGGGAUUGUCAAAGCUCGUCUUCCCACUUUCUGGUUUAGUUUCAAGCUCCAGCUUAGGUAUCUUAUAUAGUGAAAGCUGCGUGAUUAAUCUCAUUGCCGGGCCAGAGCCCUUCUUUCUGAUACGGAUUUGGGUGCCUCGUCUGAAGCGUCUCAUUCAGAUAUAGAUAUUCAAUAUCCGCAUACGAAAGAUUGGAAUGACCGGAUAACUGCCCAAAGCACUACUAAAUGGGUGUCAAACAGGAAUGAAAUGGAAUGACUGAUUGAUGGAUACGUGGUAAUAUUCCACUCCUGAACGACUUGGUACUCCCUCUUUCUCUAUGGAUCGAGCAUAUGAGGUGCCACUCUACCGCACCAAUGCAGGUUAUGAAAUAAUAGAUGUUCCUCCCGGUGUCUUGCCAGAAGCUCGUUUUCUAACCAAAAAAUGGAAUAUUUUAAGACCACUGGAAAAGGACCUAAACUCGUGAUAGAAGCCGUCUUUCUCUAGUAGUAAAUCAAACACAUCGGGAAGGCUCGCGUAUUCCUAUUAUUGUUAUGGGAGACUGUCCAUACCCUAUCUCGACUCCGUUCACAAGACCAUAAAGUAGGGGAAGGCGGGUUUGAUCCUAUUAUCUUUUAUUUGAGUUGCAAAUGGCACCACUAAAGAAGCAGUUUGUGGAAACAGACAUUUAGAAAGCAGAGUGGAGUGAGAGACCCCUUAUCCAGGGAUGUGGGUGGGAAAAGAGCCAUUGGAAGGUGCUUGUUCAUCUGGCUAGGUACUG